UGCUACUGCAGAAGCACAGAAGGAGUGCUCGUUUGGCAGCAAGGCAGUUGGGAGGAAGAAAAUGGGAAAGACUGUAUGGGCUGCCAGGAUGAGGGAAGAAAAGAAAGCUGAAAAUAAACGGAGCUUGGUAGAAUGUCAAAAAGAAAACACACAAAGAAUCGCUUGGAUCAUCAUCAUAUACAAAGAAUGGCCUGGAACAUCAUCAAACUUUGUUGCUUGAACAAAAGAAUGUCAAAAAGAAAACACACAAAGAAUCGCUUGGAUCA